rnacentral:rRNA from 1 species
AUUGAACGCUGGCGGCAUGCUCUACACAUGCAAGUCGAACGGUAACAGGCCGCAAGGUGCUGACGAGUGGCGAACGGGUGAGUAAUGCAUCGGAACGUGCCCAGUCGUGGGGGAUAACUACUCGAAAGAGUAGCUAAUACCGCAUACGAUCUAUGGAUGAAAGCGGGGGACCGUAAGGCCUCGCGCGAUUGGAGCGGCCGAUGUCAGAUUAGGUAGUUGGUGGGGUAAAGGCUCACCAAGCCAACGAUCUGUAGCUGGUCUGAGAGGACGACCAGCCACACUGGGACUGAGACACGGCCCAGACUCCUACGGGAGGCAGCAGUGGGGAAUUUUGGACAAUGGGCGCAAGCCUGAUCCAGCAAUGCCGCGUGCAGGAAGAAGGCCUUCGGGUUGUAAACUGCUUUUGUACGGAACGAAACGGCUCUGUUUAAUACCCGGGGCUAAUGACGGUACCGUAAGAAUAAGCACCGGCUAACUACGUG